GCCCAUUCAGAGGGCCUCCCUUUCUGGUUCUCCCUCUCCCUGGGGGUAAGGGUAGUGUAUAUCAGAGUGUGAGCCUGUGUGCUGGUCUCCUAAACUCCUGACAGGCCUUGAGAGACAGAAAUCUGGCUGUGGAAAAUGUGAACUUCCUGGGAGUGGAAGACACACAGGCUCGCUCUUCCCGUUCUCUGGAAAGUGAGGGAGCCAGACAGCCACAUGGAGAGGUCACACACAGGUGAUCUGACCAACCGUUCCAGCAGAGGAGGUCCUGGCUGACAGCUGCCACCCACCACCAGAGAGGCUUCAAGCUCUUCCCCACUCAGAGCCUUAGUGUUUGAUCCUCUCCUCUGGAAAGGCUUCAAAGAACACCCGACCUAAGCAGAAGCCUCCAUGCCUACAUGGCCCAUUAAUGCUGCUGUGGUGUGGCUGGACAUCAGCCAGGCUGUAGGACACCAAACAUCUGGAUACUGAGAAGGCUUCAAGGGCUGCUGCCGAAGGACAGUGUCAGGGCUGGGUGAAAGGGACAUGACAGCAGACUUUCAUCACCAGUGACCCAAGACUUGGUCUGGCACUCACACCAAACCAUUCCUGAUGUGAAGUAGUGAGGUCAGCUUGGGUGUACAUUCUGAGCUGUAGGCCAUGCCUGGAGGGGAGCAAGAUGUCUCCCUGGGAAGAGACCGUGGAACAGAUCUGUGGAAGAAGCAAUGACCAAAUGGUUAUGGAUGAACAGAGGAGGCUGUGAUGGGGGAGGGGAAGACAGUCCUCAGCCGGGUGCUACUGGGAUGGGCAGUCACUGGCCCCUUCUGGCGCAUCUGCCUGCAGGGGACCUGGAGCUGUAGGGAUGGAGUCCAGCACUCUUCUAGAGCCCACUCCAACCAGGGACCCAUAAAUAUUGGUCUGGUUUUGGUACAAAGACCAGCCCCAAGCCCAUCAGCAGGGUGUUUUCAGCUGGGAGGAGCAGACAUAUUCUUUCACUCUGGCUCUCAUGUGGUCCAGCACAUGGGGAGCUGUCUGGGUGGGGGCUACCAACCAGAGCUUGGCUGCCCCCCAGCCCCUUGCCCUAAGCCCUGACGUCACAGCCCAGACAUCUGGCUGUCAGAUCUGAUUGAGCUCAUGCCUGGAGAGAGCUGGCAGGCCAGGAGGCCUAACUCCACACACAUCCAUGCCCACCCAGCCAGGAUCUGCCUUCCCCUGGGGCAAAGCACUAACCACUUGGAGACUUGCUAUCCUCAUAUGUGGAACGGGGAUCAUGAUAACACCUCCCUGGAAGGCUUUUCAUAAGGAUUAAUGAAAAUGAUGAGCUGAAUGUCAUCAACAUACAGGACCUGGCAGAUAGUAAACACCCAACUAGUGAUAAGCACUACAGUAAUGUAUAACAAGAUGCUCCUCUUACUCUCUGGGACAGUAAUGGCCUGUGUGGUAUUAGGCAAGCCACUCUUUCUGAGUCUCAGUUUCUUUACCUGUAAAGUGAGAGUAUUUCUAU